rnacentral:rRNA from 1 species
GACGUAGGGGGCCAGCGUUGCUCGGAAUUACUGGGCGUAAAGGGUUCGUAGGCGGUGUGGCAAGUCGGGAGUGAAAUUUCUGGGCUUAACCCAGAGGCUGCUUCCGAAACUGCCGUGCUAGAGUGCGGGAGAGGCGAGUGGGAUUGCAGGUGUAGCGGUGAAAUGCGUAGAUAUCUGCAGGAACACCCGUGGCGAAGGCGGCUCGCUGGACCGCAACUGACGCUGAGGAACGAAAGCUAGGGGAGCAAACAGG